rnacentral:rRNA from 1 species
UAAUAUUAAAGUUCGUCCGUGGUGCCGCCCAGAGAACGGAAAGGGGCCCAGGCCUUCGGAACGGGGACACGGAACGGGGGGAGANAGAGGUGCCUACCGCGCCUCGUNCAUUAGCCGAGGCUCUUGGGAUUAGAUUAGAAUUUGUUAGGGGCGUCUCUUCGGCGGUAACUUCGUCCCAGGAACGCUGCCAGUUUUGUUUCAUCGNCCACGGGCGUGAGAGCUUUUCNGAAACUUUAUUACAGGAAGUUCCGUCG